rnacentral:lncRNA from 1 species
CUAAUUAUUCUCAACAAAAACCACUCUCUCUCACACCAUCACUCAAACCAUUUCUCACUUCUUUCACACACAAAAAAAAAACCUCAAACCUUAUUUUCUCCAAACCUUCACCCAACAAAACAACAACCUUCUCCACCUCAAAACAUGUCGGUAAAAGAGUGCAACCACCACAAAGGAAAGAAACACAAACGCUUCAGAAAAAUCUUCUGGGGAAUCGUAAUCUUCCUCUUCAUCGUCCUCCUCACAAUCCUAAUCACCUGGGCAAUCCUAAAACCUUCCAAACCAUCUUUCAUCCUCCAAGACGUCACCGUCUACGCUUUCAACGCCACCGUUCCAAAUUUCCUCACCUCAAAUUUCCAAGUCACCGUCUCUUCUCGUAACCCAAACGACA